rnacentral:rRNA from 1 species
CUGGCCGUAAACGAUGGAUACUAGGUGUGGGAGGUAUCGACCCCUUCCGUGCCGGAGUUAACGCAAUAAGUAUCCCGCCUGGGGAGUACGGCCGCAAGGCUGAAACUCAAAGGAAUUGAC